GAAGUAAAAGUCGUAACAAGGUUUCCGUAGGUGAACCUGCGGAAGGAUCAUUAUCGAGUUUGAAAGGGGUUUGCAGCUGGCUCUCCGGAGUAUGUGCUCGCCUCGCUCAUCCACUCUACACCUGUGCACUAUCUGUGGGCUUCGGCCUACGUCUUCACACAAACAAUAUGUAUCAGAAUGUAAUACCGCGUCUAACGCAAUAAUACAACUUUCAACAACGGAUCUCUUGGCUCUCGCAUCGAUGAAGAACGCAGCGAAAUGCGAUAAGUAAUGUGAAUUGCAGAAUUCAGUGAAUCAUCGAAUCUUUGAACGCACCUUGCGCUCCUUGGUAUUCCGAGGAGCAUGCCUGUUUGAGCGUCGUGAAUCUCUCAACCCACAAAUUGUUUGUUCAGUUUGUGCGGCUUGGACUUGGAGGCAUUGCUGGCGAUGRUCAGCUCCUCUUAAAUGUAUUAGCUGGGCUUAGCUCGGUGGAACGGUUAGUGUGAUAAUUAUCUGCGCUGCCUACUACAUCGGAUCCCGCUUCUAAUCGUCCGCAAGGACAAUUCACUUUGAAUCUGACCUCAAAUCAGGUAGGACUACCCGCUGAACUUAAGCAUAUCAAUAAGCGGAGGAAAAGAAACUAACAAGGAUUCCCCUAGUAACUGCGAGUGAAGCGGGAAAAGCUCAAAUUUAAAAUCUGGCGGUCUUUGGCCGUCCGAG
rnacentral:rRNA from 1 species